AAGACUAUACUUUCAGGGAUCAUUUCUAUAGUUCGUGACUAGAGAAGUUUCUCUGAACGUGUAGAGCACCCGAAACCACGAGGAGGAGACGUAGCGUUCUCUCCUGAGCGUGAAGCCGGCUCUUGGUGUUGCUUCUGCAGCUGCCAUUUGCCAUUGAUGAUCGUUCUCGUUUUUCUUUUCGGAGGAACGAGAGGGAGAGAACGCGGUCUGAGUGGUU
ensembl:snoRNA